rnacentral:rRNA from 1 species
AUACGUAGGUGACAAGCGUUAUCCGGAAUUACUGGGUGUAAAGGGUGCGUAGGCGGAACAGCAAGUCGGAAGUGAAAGGCGCGGGCUUAACCCACGAACGGCUUUCGAAACUGCUGAUAUAGAGUACAGGAGAGGAAAGCGGAAUUCCUAGUGUAGCGGUGAAAUGCGUAGAUAUUAGGAAGAACACCAGUGGCGAAGGCGGCUUUCUGGACUGAAGCUGACGCUGAGGCACGAAAGCGUGGGGAGCAAACAGGUUUAGAUACCCUGGUAGUCCACGCCGUAAACGAUGAAUGCUAGGUGUUGGGCCUACGGGCUCGGUGCCGCAGUUAACGCAAUAAGCAUUCCACCUGGGGAGUACGACCGCAAGGUUGAAACUCAAAUGAAUUGACGGGA